UGAACCAGCAACUUGGAGGAAUGUAUAGCGAUAGCUAAUUGCAUCGAAAAUAAGAUGCAAGAUUGAUUUAUUGAAUAAAAUUCUGGGUAGAAUUAUGAUUAUGACAUUGUCUACCCAUGUGUCUUGACCAAAUUACGUGCCAGCAGUCGCGGUAAUACGUAGAAGACUAGUGUUAUUCAUCUUUAAUAGGUUUAAAGGGUACCUAGACGGUAAAUCAAGCCCUAGACGGGACUAAUUUGCUAGAGUUACUUGUGAGGGGGUUUUAAAGUACUAAUGGUGUAGAGAUGAAAUUUUGUAAUACCAUUUUUCGAAAGAAAAGUAAUGGCACAGGUAUAGGCGAAAGCAUCCCCUUAUGUGAUAACUGACGUUGAAGGACGAAGGCUUUGAGUCGCGAACAGGAUUAGAUACCCUGGUAGUCAAAGCAGAAAAUAAUGAGUGUCAUAGAUUAGAUAUUAAAGUUUAUUCUAUAAAUGAAAGUGUAAGCACUCCACCUCAAGAGUAAUUUGGCAACAUUGGAACUGAAAUCAUUAGACCGUUUCUGAAACCAGUAGNNAAGUAUGUUGUUUAAUUUGAUAAUCCGCAAAAAACCUUACCACAAUUUGAAUAUUUAUAUCGUUGAUAUAAUUACAAGCGUUGCACGGCUGUCUUCAGUUAAUGUCGUGAGAUUUUGGUUAGAUCCAUUAAAUUAACGCAAGCCCUUACUUUAUUUUAAAAUAAAGUCGUUCCCCACUAGAUUGGAUAAGAUAACAGGGAUUAAGACAAGUCAUCAUGGCCUGAAUAUUGUGGGCU
rnacentral:rRNA from 1 species